UAUGAUGGGGACACAGCGUCCUCUGACCCUGUCUCCAUUCCCAGUAUCUAUGCUGUCAUAAUAAUGUGCAGAGGGGUCAUCU
ensembl:snoRNA small nucleolar RNA SNORD67